rnacentral:rRNA from 1 species
UUUAUGGAGAGUUUGAUCCUGGCUCAGGAUGAACGCUGGCGGCGUGCCUAAUACAUGCAAGUCGAGCGAACGGACGAGAAGCUUGCUUCUCUGAUGUUAGCGGCGGACGGGUGAGUAACACGUGGAUAACCUACCUAUAAGACUGGGAUAACUUCGGGAAACCGGAGCUAAUACCGGAUAAUAUUUUGAACCGCAUGAUUCAAAAGUGAAAGACGGUCUUGCUGUCACUUAUAGAUGGAUCCGCGCUGCAUUAGCUAGUUGGUAAGGUAACGGCUUACCAAGGCAACGAUGCAUAGCCGACCUGAGAGGGUGAUCGGCCACACUGGAACUGAGACACGGUCCAGACUCCUACGGGAGGCAGCAGUAGGGAAUCUUCCGCAAUGGGCGAAAGCCUGACGGAGCAACGCCGCGUGAG